GCCGGGAUACCGAAGUGGCCAAACGGGGCUGACUGUAAAUCAGCUGGCGCAAGCCUACGCAGGUUCAAAUCCUGCUCCCGGCACCA
rnacentral:tRNA from 1 species